AAUGAGAAGUUGGAGUUAUGUUCAUGAUUAUGAAAAUUAACUUAGAAAUUAAUUAUUUUGGGUUUGAUUUUGAAUAUCAUAUAGGAAUUUGAGCCUUAUUUUUAUAUGCAUUUAAUUUGGAGAAAUUAAGGAAUUAAUUCACGAACAUCGUUAAGGUUAAUCAAUAUAGAAAUAAUUAUAAUUCUUCAAUUGAGCUUGGGUUUGGAAACCUUGAUAUAUAUGAGAUGUAAAUUUACAUGCAUCAUAGAUUUCUUGGAAUUGAUUUCAUGUUUGAUGAAAUAAGAACUAAGCUUUGGAAAAUUAUGAUUUAUGAACAAAUGAGUUCAAUAUUUAAAUUAAAGGAGUUUUGAUGUAAAUGAUUUAAAAUUGAUCAUAUUUUCUUGAUUAUUUAAGAAUUGUAUGUUUUUAGAUAGGCCAUGUAUGAACCUAAGCUUGAAAUUAUUUUGAGAGCUCAAUUCAAGUUUUAGAAUUUGUAAGCUUGGAGUUGGGCUUGAUACGAAGAACAUGAAUUGAGUUGAAUUUGAUGAAUUUGAAGUUUGUAUGUACAUGCAUGCAAGUGAUUGUCAUAAGUUUGCAUAUUUGAUAACAAACAUGCAUUUUAUAAUGAAUUGAAGGUUAUUUGGCACAUGCAAGCAUGAUAAUGUUGAAUUUCAUGAAGUUGAUCAUCAAUUGUACUAUUUAAGUUGAAAAUGAAGCCUAUAUUUCACAUGCAUGUAUAUUUCAAAAUGAUAUGGAAAUUAAUUUGCAUGAGCUUUGAAGUUAUGAAGUGAGUUUGAUAUGAUUCAAGUUUAUGAGAUGGAUUUAUGUAAAUUUGAGAUUCAAAUCUUGUAAAGUUGGCCCUUAUAUUCAUGUUAAAAGUUAUAAGGUGAAAAUAUGAGUCUUAUGAUAUUCGUUACAUGGGUUGGCACCAAGUUUUGAAGAAUUCGACAUAUUCGCUCGAGCGUGGAGAGUCUCGCUCGAGCAUACCCUGUUUUACUAGACUCCUCGCUCGAGCGUCAAAAGUCUCGCUCGAGCAUAAUUUGCAAACAACCAGUAUUUUCACAGACCAAAGGGGUCCGCUCGAGCGGCCAAAGCUACACUCGAGCAGAGGGCCCUGUUUCAGAAAUUUUGAAAAGAUGUUUUAUACUUCGUUUUCCGUUCUCUUUCAUUUCAAAGCACUCUUAGACAUGUAUUAAACAUUGCAAAUGAAUUAAAGAACAUGAAAGAAGCCUAAGAUUGUUAAACAAGUUAAAGAAUGGAAUGAAUUGUAAUAUGACCCAAUGUGUUAUGAAUUAUGUAGGGUCAAACGCAGGGAUGAAUCAAGCACCAGAACACUAUGAUCAGGCGCGUGGCUAGGCUUAGAGGCAUCUGCCCGAGAUCUGUUUUUGUCAGCCAACCUAUAUGCCUCCCGUGGAGGUUCCGAAUAUGUCAAGUGACUAUGACUAUGUGAUUUAAAGCUUAAGUUUUGUUUUCUUGUUUAGUUAAACAAGUCUUGUGUAUUUUGUAAAUGGGGCUACGUCCCCUUUUUAUCUAAUCUGUAUAUAUAGAAUGACGUAAGGAUGAUGUGUAUAUAUGUACAUAAAAAGUUUAAAAUUUUUUUGUCUCAUAUAA